CUUUAUAUACCCCAUCUCCUCUGCCCAGCUCUUCAUCGAUUCCUGUAUUCCCUCUCCAAUCCCAGCUUAUAAUUUUAUGUUUUUUUUUGGUUUUUUUUUUCUGUUUUUCUGUUUACAAUUUUUAUUUACUUUCAUCUUCGUCGAUAGCUUUGUUUCAUGUUGCUUUUCCAGCUUUUGUGUGCGGUGAUGAGUAUUUUGCUGGACUAGAGUUUCUGAUCUGGGAUUUCAAGCCCCAGUUUUGAAGAGAAACCCUUGGCUGUCUGAGCACAUUAAUUUAAUAGCUUGAUAAAUCUUUUUUUUUUUUUUCAAAUGUUUUCUAGUGGGCUUAGGAUGAAAAUUUUAAUUAUCUUAGCGGAUUUCUGUGAGAUUAUUCUUAAUCAGUGAUCUCAUUGUUACACACACUGAAGCCCCUCGUUUUAAAUUUUUUUUGGUUGCAUUGCUUUUAUUAUAAGAUCAUUUUUUUUAAAAUUUAAUUUUGCGUUUUUUUUUGCUUUCUUAUUGGAUAAUAAUGCUGUGAUGAGGCAAGCACCAUAUGGUGUUUUAGGGCAGUGGAAGUAUCCGUGAGCCCAUUUAUCUAAUGACUUCUCCUUCCACUGAGCAUCAUUUUUUUUCUUUUCAAUUAUUAUUUUCUUUGACUAUUUGGAUUUUUUUUGGUAAUUCAGGAGUAGAAAAAUGGCGUCCAUUACCAAUUCUGGGGGAUAAAUCUGGUUCCUCUUGGUAUAAUGGCUCGGGCGCAAUAUCAAUUGUGGUUAUCCUGAUUGAUGGAUAACUUUUGUAAUGCCAUUAGAUCCUGGAAACGCCACUUAUAUUUUUUAGCUCUAGUUUUUUCCUUCAUUUGAUAAUAUUGCAUUUCUUUGCUUAAUCUUCACAGGAAUCUAAAUAUUAUGAGAAAAGUUGAAAAGCUUUGGGAGCUUGAGGUACAAGAAAAUUAGAAUCAAUCUUCAAUUUUGUUUGGAUGGAAUUGUUGGCACAGUAUUUGGACAUGGGAGGAGUGAGACAGGGUAUAUGCUGCGGAUCAAUCUUCACCCCGGAUGCAGUUGGUGGGAUCUGUAGCACUGUGGAGUCAACAGGAAUCUAAAAAUUGUGAGAAAAGUUGAAAAGCUUUGGGGAACUUGAGGUACAAGAAAAUUAGAAUCAAUCUUCAAUUUUGUUUGGAUGGAAUUGUUGGCACAGUAUUUGGACAUGGGAGGAGGGAGACAGGGUACAUGCUGCGGAUCAAUCUUCACCCCGGUUGCAGUUGGUGGGAUCUGUAGCACCGUGGAGUCUACAGAUUCACGCCCGAGGCAGUUGCACAUAUUACACAAAAUGGAGUAUGAUGGUUAUGUGAAUGGUGGGGACUCAUCUGAUGAUUCGGACGACGAGGAGCUCAUGUUGGCCUUUGCUGCCUUUAUCCUUGCUGGAUUGGCCUUAUUCGACCCGUACAUCAACUUAGGGCAACGGCGAAGAAUUCGAGAUGGUGCAAAGUCGGGUGCUCAAUAUGUUAUAGAGCUGAUAAAAGGCUAUCGAGACAGAAUAUUCGAAAACCUUCGAAUGGAAGCUCCCCUUUUUCUCAAAUUGUGUGACUUGUUGGUUCAGAGGGGCUAUUGGGUGGCCCACCCGACACAACGGGUGGGGAUUCAUGAGUCCGUUGCUAUAUGUCUGCUGUGUUUAAGUCAUAAUGAGCGACACAUGGUGCUUGCCGAGAGAUUUCAACAUUCUCCCGAGACAACAGACCGCCAUCUACGACGCUGCCUUAGAUCUCCCGUUCGAUUGAGACGCGACCUGGUCCGACCGGUGGAUUAUCACAUAACCCAUCCAAGAAUAAAGAACAGUGCUUUGUUCUGGCCCUGAUUUAAGGAUUGCGUUGGAGCGAUUGACGGAACACACGUUUUGGCCUGGUGUACAGCCGAAGACAUGAAACGUUACCGGAACAGGCAUGGUAGCUUAUCACAAAACGUUCUAGUCGUGCGUGAUCACAACAUGAGAUUCACUUAUGUCACGGUAGGGUGGGAGGGUAACACACACGAUUCUAGAAUCUUACAAGAAAUCAUACAAGAUCCUAAUUGUGUCUUUCCGUGGCCACCAGCAGGGAAGUAUUACGCGGUGGACGCGGCUUACCAGAAUAUCACAGGACUCAUGGCUCCAUUUAAAGGUGCACGGGGAACCGCGCAAAAGCGGACAGUGAGGACACUCUUCAACAAACGGCAUGCAUCGUUAAGAAACAUUAUAGAACGCACGUUUGGCGUCUUGAAGAAGCGGUUUUCAAUACUUAAGGGCCCCAUGCAGAAGUAUAUGAUGACUACUCAAAAUAAUAUUGUCCUGGCUUGUUGUGCCUUGCACAACUUCAUGCGCGAGUAUGUUCCAAAUGAAUCAUAUUUUGUUGAAGAAAAAGCAGAUAUAGCAUUAACAGAUAACAUAAACCCUUUCAACCCAAUGCCCGCAGCACAAGUUUCAAAUAUGUCGGCUGCAGGAAUUGUUGAAUGGAAUGAAAGUAGGAAAGCAAUAGCCGAUAUGAUGUACUAUCAUCAACACCAGUAGAACAUCUCCUGUCAUUAUUUGUUCAGAUAGUACACCCAAUAAAUUGCACACUUAUGUCUCAUCUAUGUAUUAAAAAAUUGAUAAUUGUUUAAGUGCAAAUGGCAUUCAGUAUUUCAAACA